ensembl:lncRNA
UUAUUACCCAACUUAAAGUCAUUAGCUUUUUUUUACAUUCCUUUUAUAUCAUUUAACACAUUCUGUCCUUCAGUUUGAGCUCUUAUCUGUAGUCUAUCUAGAUUAAUCUUUUAUUUCCCCAUCAUUUUCUGAUGCCAGCUUAACAAAUGCAUAAACCAUCUUAAAGGAUCUUAAACCAUGUCCUUGGUGCUGCACUGGACUGUGUGUGUGUGUGUGUGUGUGUCAGUCUUGUAAACAAACGUAAUCAUUUUCACUAAUUCCAAUGACGAUGCGUUGAGCAGAAAUGUGUGUAGUCACACACAUGUGCAGUGAAGACCUCGCAGCGCCUCAGAUUACAGCCUGCUAACACACACACACACUGCAUAGAUGAGCUGGUGUGAAGAAGAGGAACUAGUUUUGUUGUUGUUUUUCUCACUGGCAGACUGCUUCGCUGAUUCGCUGAAGAAAAGAUUACCUCAAAAUAUUGAUUUGAGGGAUAAUGCACAACUAGCUGGUCAUCAUCACAAAAUAAACACUGAUUGGGUGAUUCAACAACACAAAGCAGGUUUUAUUUUGGGAUAGUGACCUGCUUACUGUACAUUAUCUUGCUUAUAGAGCUGUUCAGUUUGUGGUUCUAAAACCUGAAAGAGAAUCAGCAUUUUCCAGUCUUGGUUUCUCCCUCUGGAGUUUUUGGUUUAGGAGUAAAAUCAGAUAUAUGGUUAACAAUCUUUUUAAGGUUUUGUUCUGCAACAUAAAUAAUACUCAUCCAUAUGUGAAUUUUGAAGCCACUAAUGCUGUUGUUGUUGUUGUUGUUGUUGUUUUUUUAAUAAAAUGUAACUUGCUUACAAGUUUCUAAAUGCAAACUGCAGCUUAGAAGAAUGUGAGUUUGCAUGCUUGGCAAAUCUGAAGACUGUUGUAGUUCUUAUUUAGCAGCUUUAAUCUGAAAGGCUGUUCUGAAGACCCAUAGGAAAUUCCCUAAGGAAGCCAUGAUGACUUAUCCAGGUCAGGUCAGCCUACAAACUGAU